rnacentral:lncRNA from 1 species
CUGACUAAAUACUUUGUCGAUCCACUGUACAUCAAACUAUAAUAACUAAGACAGCCUAAUUUUGUCUUGUCUCUUGCUUUCAUAUUUUUGUAAUGGUUUAACAGGAACUGGAGGGCAACUUGGAACAGGAGGGCAACUUGGAACAGGAGGGCAACUUGGAACAGGAGGGCAACUUGGAACUGGAGGACAGCUUGGAACUGGAGGACAGCUUGGAACUGGAGGAUUUGGAACGCUAGGGGGAGGUGGUGGAUACUCUCCUGCUUCAAAAGCUGCCAAAUAUGGAGUUGGAGGUCAACUUGGUACUGGAGGUCAACUUGGAACUGGAGGACAACUAGGAACCGGAGGUCAGCUUGGUACAGGAGGACUUGGAACACUUGGGGGAGGUGGUGGAUAUUCUCCUUCCUCCAAAGCUGCCAAAUAUGGUUUACCAGGAACAGGAGGACAACUUGGAACAGGUGGACAACUUGGAACAGGUGGACAAAUUGUACCAGGAGGACCUGGAUCAGUGGGUGGAGGUGGUAGCUAUUCUCCUGCUGCCAAAGCUGCUAAAUAUGGUUUAACUGGAAGAGGAGGUCAACUUGGAACAGGAGCGCAACUUGUACCAGGAGGACAACUUGUACCAGGGGGAUCCGGAGGAAUCGGUGGAGGUGGUGGCUAUUCUCCUGCUUCCAAAGCUGCUAAAUAUGGUUUACCAGGAUUUGGAGGACAACUUGGAACGGGAGGACAACUCGGAACGGGAGGGCAACGUGUGCCAGGAGGACCUGGAACGUUAGGAGGAGGCGGUGGAUAUUCUCCUGCUUCUAAAGCUGCUAAAUAUGGUAUUGGGGGCCAAACAGGAGCCGGGGGUGGAGCAGGUGGAGGAUACAAUCCCGCCGCCGCUGCUGCUGCUGCAAAAGCUGCUAAAUAUGGUAACUGUGGGGGUGGGGGGGGAUCCAAAAAGUAA